GAAGAAAUAUUCUGUAUUUUGUGUGAUGUAUUCUUCUAUUAAUUAAAAUUGUUUUUUUACGACAUCCGAAUUUUAUCAAAAAUGGAAGGUUUUUUUAUAAUUUUGUUGUGCUUUAAUAUUUAUCAGGUGAUUGCCAAACAUUUUUGGAUUAAUAAGAUAACCAAAUGUGAUCUAUAAAUGGUUAACAGAUUAAUGGCAGAGAACAGGUAUUAGAUAAUACUACUGGAGAACAUGAUAUGACUCUGAACAUUGCUGGAGAAGGAACACUUGAAGACAAACCAGUUUUUGAAAAUGCUGAGAGUAACAGUGAAACAAUUUCGACAGAAAGCUCUCAUGUCAAUGUGGCGAAAGAGACAUCAUUGUUCCUGCCCUCAAAUGCUGUGGCUUUUAGAUACACCAAAAAUGACUUUUCACCAUGCACAAAUUCAACCCUACAACUGUCCUAUGAAGUGUAUGAGUUAUACAUUAAAUCUACUCACUACUUUAUUCUGAUUGCAUUUCGAGGGGCCCAAUUGGUAGUGAAAACAAUACGUUGCUUCCUCAAUAACCCUGAUGAUUAUGGCGAUGAGUGUGUUUCAGAAAUAAUCAACUCUGCCCAACUAGUCUACAUCUAUGCAAGUCCCAUGAUUUUAGAAGUUUUAGACUUAUCUAGACUACUCAUAUCUCUGUUUCAAGCCGUCAAACAUGACUGCUUUUUAAUCUAAGUUUCUGAAGAGUAUGAUCUUCAAUAGUUAUUUGUGCAACUAGUGCGCAAAGUGACAGUUUGCUGCACCAAAAGAAACGUUUACGCACGAGCCGAAGGCGAGUGCAGAAUGGUUUCUUGAGUGCAGCAGAGGAUCUUUACGCACGUAUUUCACAUUAAAUUUUUCCUACAGUUACCAUUGAAUAUGAAAAGUCGGGGAUUAUGAGUAAAAUGAUGGCUGAAAUCCCUCAAAUGUUUGUCUGUGUAAUUUUGUUAUUAAUAACAACUUUAAUUUAUUUAAAAAUUGAUAACCCAAUUUAAAAUUCAUAAUUGAUAAAAAUCAAAAUCGAAAGACAUGAGAGAAACUAUAGCUCCCCACCUCUCUCUAAAAAAUGUUCGAGAAAAGUUCAAAUCAUUUGACAAUCUGUUUGGGCGAUAGGUGAUUAUUAUUUUUCCCACUUCCAUCUGUCAGCACUUGGAGUACACAAAGUAAUACUUUGCACUAGUGCGGAAAAGUGAUUCUUUGCGUUCUGUAAUCAGUGCAGAAAUGGUCACUUUCCAAGGUAACUAUAGGAAAAAUAAAAAGUUUGCAUAGUGAUAUCUCAAUAAUACCUCAUAAUAAUGAACCCUCCACCAGCCUAUUACAUGGGAAACCAUGACUAGGUAUUUCCCCUCUUCCUUUCUAUUCAACACACUCUACCAUGAAGCCUGUUAUUUUGUAUUUGAAAUUUGUACCUAUUUUGAUUAUACAGUUUUUGUAUUUUAAUUUUCUUUGCGAGUUUUGUUUUUAAAUAAAUUUGAGAAAUACUGUGUAAUUGAAUUAAACUUUAACAAUUCAAAUGUGGAAAAAUCUAAAAACUCAAAACAUUAGUGCAGGACAGAAAGAAAUUCUAUAUAAAGCAAUUUGAAGAUACACAAACCAAAAAAUAAUAGGUGAAUGUGAAUCAGAGUUAUUGUUUUGGAUGUUAGUAAGAUACGGUAAUAAUAAGCAAGCAGAGUACUAAUAGCAAUUCUCUAUGAAAAUUCAAGUAGCCAUAUAUUAAAAUACUUUAUUAAUAAUAUAAGCUAAUUCUUAUGUUAUAUUUUGAAACACUCUUUAAAAUAAAAGAGAAUAGCAAUAAAUUCGUUGGCUACCAUUUUCUCUUAUGGUAUAUCACCGCGCGUAGGAAAACUGUGAAUAAAAAAAUCUUUCAAGUUUUAGUUGAAAUCUCUUUAAAAAGUUUCAGUUAAAAACACUCUCAAGUAUUUUAGAUAAAUCUUCAUUAUUUAAGAUAUUCAACUGUAAAAUUCACUAUAAUUAAUUGUAUACGGUAGUAGGCCAAUAAUUUCCUUCGAAAUAACAAAGAAGAGAAAUUAUUUUUAAAAUAUGUGAAAAAUACAUUUCUGUAAUAAUUAAAAAGUUUGAUAUGUUGAAUUGUUGAAUUAUAUAUAUUAUAUAUUCCAUACCGGUAUUAUUAUUUCGAGUUGGAACAAGAAUUUCAACUUACUUCAUAUAAAUGUAUACCUAAGUGAAAUAUAUACAUCAAAAGCUACGUCUAGUAUAUUAUUCAGCUUCACUAAAAGCUGGUAUAUUAUUUUUGGGAAGAAUGAUUUCCCAAUGCUCAGAAAAUAUUUUAUUAUACAAAUUAUAUACAGUGCCUAUAUUAUAACUAUAUUCUAUUGAAAUAAAAUAUUUAUUGUUUGUUUAUACAGUAGGCCUAUGAGAUUCAUUCAAGAAACUGUAUUUAUUUUUUCACAAAGGAAACUUUCAAAAGUAUUUUAAGCCUAGGUGAGGAUGAGGGGAUGAAUAUCUAACGUAGGCUACGGUACGAUAAUAACGUAGAUACUAACGUUUCUAUCUACGAUGAUAGACCAAUGGAGAGAAACAAGAAAUAACUGUGCACUGUAAAAUUAUAAUUAUAUCAAAUUAAAGAAUUAAAAUUAAAAUUAGAAUCUUUACAAUAAAGUACCUACUUGCAACUUACUAUAUACUAAAGUCUUGUCAAAUUAUAAUCUAUUUACAGAUUUAGAUAUCGUAGCCUGCUUAUUUUUUAAAAGAGUUCAGAUUUAAUAUAUCAGGAUUUCUAAAUUCCUCAGUUGUGUAGAAGGAUUUCUUCUUCAACCAUGCCUCUAACCAUUUUGGGAACUGGGCUGUAAUUUAUUUAAAACGUUGAGAUUCAGAUUCAGAUGGCUAUUGUGUUUCUUAGGUAGUCUAUUGUAGAUUAUAUCAACUUUAUCUAUUUGGAUUAAUCUAGAUAGGAUACGGUACCAAGGGCCGUAUUACUAUACUCCUUGGAGCAUAGAAUGUGUAUUAGGUCACAUAUCAAUAAAUUAUGAAAUUAUA
rnacentral:misc_RNA from 1 species